AGGGGUUUUGAUGGAUGGCGAUGCAAAUCCCAACCGGCGGUUAUAGCCCGCGACUUCCCGAGCGGCCCCGAUGGGGCGGCGGAGGAACUGAACCGGUGAGAUUCCGGUGCCGACGGUAUAGUCCGGAUGGAAGAAAAUCGAG
rnacentral:ncRNA from 2 species